UGGAGGAUUAGCUCAGCUGGGAGAGCACCUGCCUUACAAGCAGGGGGUCGGCGGUUCGAUCCCGUCUCAUCCUCC
rnacentral:tRNA from 1 species